rnacentral:lncRNA from 1 species
UGAGACGCUAGAGACUCUUGGGCAGAGAGGCAGGGGCUGCCCGUGGUCACAGGGGGAUGCUGCUCCGUUUGGUGCUUCUUCUCUUUCAGCCAGAAACACACAACGAUGGGACCAGACCACGGCACAAUCCUGGCCUCGCUGCUCUUGACCACUCAUCUGGAAGGAAGAGCUGCCAACGCUCUACAGGACAGCCAGACUCAGACAGCGAUGGGACCAGACCACGGCACACUCCUGGCUUCUCUCCCCUUGAGAACUCAGCUGGCAGGAAGAACUGCCAACGCUCUACAGGACAGAUAAGACAGCCCCAACCCAUUCCCCACCAUCGUCUCACACCAUACCAGAAGACGACACGGUUGGGUUAUGAUGGGCAUCUCCUGGCCGCCAGGGAGACCCCAGAGCAGAGCAAGCCACUGAAGGAGAAGAAAGCACACAAGGACCCCGUCUCUACCCUGCCAUGGGAUUGUGAAGAGAUCUUGGACUGCAUUUGCAGUAGUCUGAAUCUGGUUUGAUAUAGUGGGAAGUUUUCUUCUGGCAUUAAAAGCUCUGCGAAAGCAAGAAGAUGGAUCCUCCCUGUUGAACGCUGUGAGUUGUCUGCAUCCAUCUAGCAAACUGUCUAUACAAGCUGCAACAGUAUGUACCCAUACUCAGGAUGUGCAACUAUGAACUCAUGGGGUGCUUUUGCACUUGUGUGUGAUUCUUUCAGUUGUGCUGUGCUGUUCAGGUAAGUGAAAAUCUAGAGCACCCACACCUCUAGCAGAAGGUGUGCGAGGAGGGGAACCAACACUUGCUGAAGAAGGGUGUUUGACUGUAACUGCUCAGAGGCCCUGUGAGAAAAGACGUUCAUGUAACCAUGCACACAUGUGAUUAGACCUUCUGGGGAGAUUGCUAUAGGAAGUUGUUUCAGACUUUGGUAUGUAUUGAUUAGCUUUUUGUGUGCAUCUAAUAUCAUGGUUUACCGGUAUUGCUGAAUCUUGAAUAUAUAGCUCAUAGAUUACUGGUUAAACACUUGCCAAUAAAUUAAUACAAUGUAAUUGCUUCA